GAUUCCGUAGCUCAGUUGGUAGAGCAUCUGACUUUUAAUCAGAGGGUCUUGGGUUCGAGUCCCAACGGAAUCA
rnacentral:tRNA from 1 species